UUCAUCUCAUUAGCAACGACAUGUUGCAUCUAUGAUUGACAUGUAAAUAGGUUGGUUGUGUACUUUAGAGGUUCUGGAAUUAAGUCGAUUUUGUGACAGCAACCACAAAACUGAGUCGAUCAAGCCCAUAUUAGUGCAAUGUGAUAGAAAACAAAUCCUUGUCGAAGCUUGUCCUGUAUAUCAUUAAAAUGGAAUGUCAAGUUAAGAAAAACGAACAUUCUUGACAUCUUUUUACUUUUAAUCAAGGUUAUAAGGCCGCAAAAGCUGCUCGGUACAUCUGUGCUAUGUAUAGAGAGGGUGCCAUAUCUGAAAGAACCGCUCGUGAUUGGUAUACCAAGUUCAAAAAUGAAACUUUUGACCUGAAAGACACACCUCGUUCUGGUUGUCCAGUUGAGUUCAAUGAAGAGCGAUUAAACCAACCUUUGUAUGAAAAUUCUCAUCAAACGUCAAAGGAACUGGAAGGGAAAAUGGAAUACUCCAACACUGCUAUAGAGAAGAAUCUUCACUCCGUCACCGCUCAACUCAUAGACACAGUCACCAUCCUGUCAGUGAAUGAUAGUGGAUUGUACUACUAACCAUAGUCUCUAGUUGGUCCGUUACCGUAGGAAGAGUUCCUUUGGCUUCUCUCACAUUGCUGUCAGGUUGGUGAUUUUGAUAAGAAUGAGAUGAUUUCUUUUAUAACAUUUGGCAUACCUGAAAAGCUUAUCAACUUCUGCGUUUGUAUGUGGCACUGAAACGUAUAUGACAUGGUGUACGUGAAUACGUGAAGUGUAGUCAUUAAAAGAGACAACAUCCAAAAUAUCUCUCCCUCACCUUUGUUAUUUCUUAACAGCUUAUACCCAUUUCAGUGACAUUUACAAAAUACUUCAGGUACAGUCAAGAUGAAAA